rnacentral:rRNA from 1 species
UAUUCGAUGCACGGAAAAACCUUACCCACCUUUGACAUGUACGGAAUUUGCCAGAGAUGGCUUAGUGCUCGAAAGAGAACCGUAACACAGGUGCUGCAUGGCUGUCGUCAGCUCGUGUCGUGAGAUGUUGGGUUAAGUCCCGCAACGAGCGCAACCCUUGUCAUUAGUUGCUACAUUCAGUUGGGCACUCUAAUGAGACUGCCGGUGACAAACCGCAGAAAGGUGGGGAUGACGUCAAGUCCUCAUGGUCCUUAUAGGUGGGGCUACACACGUCAUACAAUGGCCGGUACAAAGGGUCGCAAACCCGCGAGGGGGAGCCAAUCCAUCAAAGCCGGUCGUAGUCCGGAUCGCAGUCUGCAACUCGACUGCGUGAAGUCGGAAUCGCUAGUAAUCGUGGAUCAGCAUGUCACGGUGAAUACGUUCCCGGGUCUUGUACACACCGCCCGUCACACCAUGGGAGCGGAUCUCGCCAGAAGUAGGUAGCCUAAACGCAAGGAGGGCGAUUACCACGGCGGGGUUCGUGACUGGGGUGAAGUCGU